CCCCCGCAGUUCCGCUCCGCCGCCGCCGCCCCCCCCCCACUUCCGUCCCCAUCUUCGGCCACCUCCUGCCCUACCUGCAGCUACAGGUGAGUCCUCCUGCCCCAUAGAUCCCGGCUGCCCCAUAGAUUUGCCCCAUAGAUCCCAUGUGCCCCAUAGAUUUGCCCUAUAGAUCCCGGCUGCCCCAUAGAUUUGCCCUAUAGAGCUCGGUCUGCCCCAUAGAUUUGCCCUGUAGAUUCCAUCUGCCCCAUAGAUUUGCCCUAUAGAUGGAGGGCUGCCCCAUACAUCUGCCCCAUAGAUCCCAGCUGCCCCAUAGAUUUGCCCUAUAGAUCCCAUCUGCCCCAAAGAUUUGCCCCAUAGAUCCCAUCUGCCCCAUAGAUUUGCCCUAUAGAUUCCAUCUGCCCCAUAGAUUUGCCCCAGAGAUCCCAUCUGCCCCAUAGAUCUGCCCUAUAGAUCCCAUCUGCCCCAUAGAUUUGCCCUAUAGAUUCCAUCUGACCCAUAGAUUUGCCCUAUAGAGCCCGGCUGCCCCAUAGAUUUGCCCUAUAGAGCCCGGCUGCCCCAUAGAUUUGCCCUACAGAUCCCAGUUGCCCCAUAGAUUUGCCCUAUAGAUCCAGCCUGCCCCAUAGGUCUGCCCUAUAGAGCUCAGUCUGCCCCAUAGAUCCCAUCUGCCCCAUAGAUUUGCCCCAUAGAGCUCGGUCUGCCCCAUAGAUUUGCCCUAUCAAUCCCGGCUGCCCCAUAGAUUUGCCCUAUAGAUGGAGGGCUGCCCCAUACAUCUGCCCCAUAGAUCCCAUCUGCCCCAUAGAUUUGCCCUAUAGAUUCCAUCUGCCCCACACCCCCCAACGCUGCCCCACACCCCCCCCAUCUCUGCCCCACAUCCCAGCCCCACAUCCCAGCCCCACAUCCCAGCCCCACACCACCCCACACCCCCCCCAUGGCUGCCCCACAUCCCAGCCCCACAGCGCCCCCCAACGCUGCCCCCCGUUCCCCGCAGGCCCCCCAUCUGUACCCCACAUCCCAGCCCCACACCCCCCCCAUGGCUGCCCCACAUCCCAGCCCCACACCCCACAUCCGUGCCCCACAUCCCUGCCCCACAUCCCAGCCCCACAGCGCCCCCCAACGCUGCCCCCCGUUCCCCGCAGGCCCCCC
rnacentral:lncRNA from 1 species